rfam:Triticum aestivum genome assembly, contig: Triticum_aestivum_CS42_TGACv1_scaffold_321449_4BL
UUGCCUUAAACUAAUGAGUAAGGAAAACAAAGCGGUACGGUGAGAGCCGCUCGUGAUGCGGGGGUCAAAACCCCGCACGACAAUUUUUGCAGGGGAAAAGAGGCUGGCGCGGGCACGGACACUGCUUACUUUUGCAGGACCUGUCUGUGUAGGCCUCCCC